rnacentral:rRNA from 1 species
UACGGAGGGGGCUAGCGUUGUUCGGAAUUACUGGGCGUAAAGCGCGCGUAGGCGGCUUUGUAAGUUAGAGGUGAAAGCCCGGAGCUUAACUCCGGAACUGCCUUUAAGACUGCAUCGCUAGAAUCGUGGAGAGGUGAGUGGAAUUCCGAGUGUAGAGGUGAAAUUCGUAGAUAUUAGGAAGAACACCAGUGGCGAAGGCGGCUCACUGGUCCGGUACUGACGCUGAGGUGCGAAAGCGUGGGGAGCAAACAGG